rnacentral:rRNA from 1 species
UCCUACGGGAGGCAGCAGUAGGGAAUCUUCGGCAAUGGACGGAAGUCUGACCGAGCAACGCCGCGUGAGUGAAGAAGGUUUUCGGAUCGUAAAGCUCUGUUGUAAGAGAAGAACGAGUGUGAGAGUGGAAAGUUCACACUGUGACGGUAUCUUACCAGAAAGGGACGGCUAACUACGUGCCAGCAGCCGCGGUAAUACGUAGGUCCCGAGCGUUGUCCGGAUUUAUUGGGCGUAAAGCGAGCGCAGGCGGUUAGAUAAGUCUGAAGUUAAAGGCUGUGGCUUAACCAUAGUACGCUUUGGAAACUGUUUAACUUGAGUGCAAGAGGGGAGAGUGGAAUUCCAUGUGUAGCGGUGAAAUGCGUAGAUAUAUGGAGGAACACCGGUGGCGAAAGCGGCUCUCUGGCUUGUAACUGACGCUGAGGCUCGAAAGCGUGGGGAGCAAACAGGAUUAGAUACCCUGGUAGUCCACGCCGUAAACGAUGAGUGCUAGGUGUUAGACCCUU